AAGUAUUGCCCCAUUUACUGUUCGGCACAGGUUUUAAGAAAGCUGAUAAAGUGGUUAUGAGUGAAAUAUAAGGGUAGUUGACUAAAGUGAUAAAGGUAGUUGACUAAAGUGUUAAAGGUGUUGUGUGGUGGAUCCACUAGUAAUAAAGUGUAAUAAAGUAGAAUAUAAAAAUGAAAUAAGUUGUUGUAUGGUGGGUCCAUUAGUGGCAAUUGAUGGUAAAUAAAUAAAAGAAAAAAGGGUGUAGUGGUACAAAAA
rnacentral:lncRNA from 1 species